rnacentral:rRNA from 1 species
GACGAACGCUGGCGGCGUGCUUAACACAUGCAAGUCGAACGGUGAAGGUGGGAGCUUGCUCCUGCUGGAUCAGUGGCGAACGGGUGAGUAACACGUGAGUAACCUGCCCUUGACUCUGGGAUAAGCGUUGGAAACGACGUCUAAUACCGGAUACGAGCUUCAGCCGCAUGGCUAGGAGUUGGAAAGAUUUUUCGGUCAAGGAUGGACUCGCGGCCUAUCAGCUUGUUGGUGAGGUAAUGGCUCACCAAGGCGACGACGGGUAGCCGGCCUGAGAGGGUGACCGGCCACACUGGGACUGAGACACGGCCCAGACUCCUACGGGAGGCAGCAGUGGGGAAUAUUGCACAAUGGGCGCAAGCCUGAUGCAGCAACGCCGCGUGAGGGACGACGGCCUUCGGGUUGUAAACCUCUUUUAGCAGGGAAGAAGCGCAAGUGACGGUACCUGCAGAAAAAGCACCGGCUAACUACGUGCCAGCAGCCGCCGUAAUAC